rnacentral:rRNA from 1 species
GCGUGGAUGAAGAAGGCCCUAGGGUUGUAAAGUCCUUUCGCUAGGGAAGAUAAUGACGGUACCUAGUAAAGAAGCCCCGGCUAAUUUCGUGCCAGCAGCCGCGGUAAUACGAAAGGGGCUAGCGUUGUUCGGAAUUACUGGGCGUAAAGCGCACGUAGGCGGCCUUGUAAGUUGGGGGUGAAAUCCCGGAGCUCAACUCCGGAAUUGCCUUCAAAACUGCAAAGCUAGAGGAUGUGAGAGGUUGGCGGAAUUCCGAGUGUAGAGGUGAAAUUCGU